AGUCUGUGAAUAAAAUGUCGUUAGAGUAAUAGUGUUCUUUGAUGAAAAUAAUAUGUACUUUGUGGUUUUAAAUUUCAAAUUCAGCCGUUUCAUAAAAAUUUAUAUUUGAAUAUCUGUGAUUUUUAAUAUUUAUAAUUUAAUAAAUCUCCGACUAGGUAGUGAUCUGGGAUAUCAAUGUUAAAUCAAAGAUGGAAAAUAAUACAAAGGGAACUAUAAGUUGAAGUUUAACGAGUUGGUUGCAGACGGGCGAAUAUUAUAUUGGGAAUUAAUUAUUUGGAAGAAAUACUAUAAUGCAUAAAAAUGUCGAUGUCCAAUGUAUCUGUGAUGUCAUCUAAGUGCGAGGAUGCAGAAACGGAGUUGAUACAAGAAAUUGAGUCAAUACAAACACUCAAUGCCAGUCUUCAGGCAUACUUGGAAUAUUUGAUCCAUUUCAGAAAGAACCUCAUCAAAAUGAAUGAAAAUUGCAAACAGCUGAGUAAAGUGAACACACAGUGGAUUGAUAUACUUAAGAAAUGAUUGUACCAUUAUGUAAUUAAAGUUAAGUUUUACAUGCUA